CCUGCCCACCUACACUAACUCUGGAUCUUUUCCUAAUCCCUCGGCAUGUUACAUCACAGUUACGAUUAUCACAUUGCUUAGGAGGGCGGUCUCUUUGAUUACUUUCUGAACGCAUGCACAGCCAUUCCUUUAAAAAACAUCAAAGUAUCUUCUUUGUGACUUUUAUCACUUUGUCAUGCAGGUAAAACAGAAGUACUUUAUAUGGAGAGAGGCAGAUACGGCAUAACAGAAAAAGCUAUAAAUAUCAC